UAGGGAAUCUUCGGCAAUGGACGAAAGUCUGACCGAGCAACGCCGCGUGAGUGAAGAAGGUUUUCGGAUCGUAAAACUCUGUUGUUAGAGAAGAACGUUGCAUAGAGUGGAAAAUUAUGCAAGUGACGGUAUCUAACCAGAAAGGGACGGCUAACUACGUGCCAGCAGCCGCGGUAAUACGUAGGUCCCGAGCGUUGUCCGGAUUUAUUGGGCGUAAAGCGAGCGCAGGUGGUUUAAUAAGUCUGAUGUAAAAGGCAGUGGCUCAACCAUUGUGUGCAUUGGAAACUGUUAGACUUGAGUGCAGUAGAGGAGAGUGGAAUUCCAUGUGUAGCGGUGAAAUGCGUAGAUAUAUGGAGGAACACCGGUGGCGAAAGCGGCUCUCUGGACUGUCACUGACACUGAGGCUCGAAAGCGUGGGUAGCAAACAGGAUUAGAUACCCUGGUAGUCCACGCCGUAAACGAUGAGUGC
rnacentral:rRNA from 1 species